rnacentral:rRNA from 1 species
UACGAAGGGGGCUAGCGUUGCUCGGAAUUACUGGGCGUAAAGGGCGCGUAGGCGGAUAGUUUAGUCAGAGGUAAAAGCCCAGGGCUCAACCUUGGAACUGCCUUUGAUACUGGCUAUCUUGAGUACGGGAGAGGUGUGUGGAACUCCGAGUGUAGAGGUGAAAUUCGUAGAUAUUCGGAAGAACACCAGUGGCGAAGGCGACACACUGGCCCGUUACUGACGCUCAUGUACGAAAGCGUGGGUAGCAAACAGG